rnacentral:miRNA from 1 species
AUCACCUGGGGAUCUUGUUAAAAUUCAGAUUCCUAUUGGGUAGGUCUGCAGUGAGACCUGAGGUUCUGCAUUUCUAACAAGCUCCCAGAUGCUGC